AUCAUCUCUGCUUACCUGAAGGAAGAAAGUAAAGAAGGAGAGGACUCCUAGGCCCAAGAAGACCAGCGAGAACAUGUUACACUUCUGUUGCUUUACUGUGUCAUCCCCAGGGCCAAAGAUCUAGAAGAGAGCAUUGAAACUGCCCGGAUUCUAAAAGAAAUGUGCUUGUAAUUUAUGUAUCUCUUGAAGUGCAAGAAAGCCAAGAACUGUCUCACAUUGAAAUUGAAUAAGAUUCAGAGUUGCUGUGAUAUACAAGUCUAACAGGAGCAGCUUAAGGGAGAAAGAAGGGCUUUGAUUGACUGACAACCCCACGUUCCAGUCCACCUCAGCCAAAGCUUGUAGAAGUAGCCACAGUGCAGUCACAAUCAAGAAGCAGAAAGCGGUAACACAAUUCUGUGUCCGGGAACCUCUGCCCAGGGAAUGUUCAGAUGCCCACAGUUCAGAUGGAUCUUCCUAUAUCAUUAAUGAAACCAGAUAAUAAUCCCCCGAGGCCUAGUUCCUUGUGGCUCUGGAUUCUGUCAAGUUACAAUUAACAUUACCCAUUAUAAUUACAUACAUUUUAAAGCAGUAAGUGAUAAAGAGGUUAUAUGAAACUGAAUUAUAAAACUUUCUAACACUCCACUCUGAGUAAUUUGAAAUUUUCAGUAACUAUUUUGUGUUAGGUUCUUCAAAAAAACAAUAGCUCAAUGACAUAUGACUCAAAUAAUAAAUCCAUCCUUUAAAA